AUGGCACCAAACUGAAAGCCUCAUUUAGUCCUGAUGCUGAGUGCAUUUUGGACCAAAACAACCUAAGUCAAUUUCGGAUCAACUAUCAUAUUCCGGCCAGCUUCUUCCUCAAGUUGUUUGGGGCUACAUAGAGUACAAAUAGUUAUUACCAUGCUUACAAGUAGACUCUGAAGGUUGGUUGGAGGCUUCCUCUCCAUCACUUCAUAGUUCUUCUCAAUAGUUUUUAAUUAGUGCUUGCCUAGUUGGUCCUAGUAUGUGGCAGAUUAUCAUCAACUUUCUGUCUCUCCUUGCUCUGUAUGGUAUAGGGU
rnacentral:lncRNA from 1 species